GCGCUCGCCAAGGGGUGUUAAAGUCUAUAAACCGAAAGUUGGAUUUAUAGAUUUUGACUGAGAUGUUGAAAAACGAACCCUUUGAACCUGAUCCGGCUAAUACCGGCGUAGGAAUGGGCCACAAUUCAUUU
rnacentral:ncRNA from 2 species